UACGAAGGGUGCAAGCGUUACUCGGAAUUACUGGGCGUAAAGCGUGCGUAGAUGGUUAUGUAAGUCGGAUGUGAAAGCCCCGGGCUCAACCUGGGAAUUGCAUUCGAGACUGCAUAGCUAGGAUGCGGAAGAGGAAGCGGAAUUUCCGGUGUAGCGGUGAAAUGCGUAGAUAUCGGAAGGAACACCAGUGGCGAAAGCGGCUUCCUGGUCCAGCAUCGACGUUCAGGCACGAAAGCGUGGGAGCAAACAGG
rnacentral:rRNA from 1 species